rnacentral:rRNA from 1 species
GGGGACGGAGAAGGCUAUGUUGGCCGGGCGACGGUUGUCCCGGUUUAAGCGUGUAGGCUGGUUUUCCAGGCAAAUCCGGAAAAUCAAGGCUGAGGCGUGAUGACGAGGCACUACGGUGCUGAAGCAACAAAUGCCCUGCUUCCAGGAAAAGCCUCUAAGCAUCAGGUAACAUCAAAUCGUACCCCAAACCGACACAGGUGGUCAGGUAGAGAAUACCAAGGCGCUUGAGAGAACUCGGGUGAAGGAACUAGGCAAAAUGGUGCCGUAACUUCGGGAGAAGGCACGCUGAUAUGUAGGUGAAGUCCCUCGCGGAUGGAGCUGAAAUCAGUCGAAGAUACCAGCUGGCUGCAACUGUUUAUUAAAAACACAGCACUGUGCAAACACGAAAGUGGACGUAUACGGUGUGACGCCUGCCCGGUGC